GUCCACGCUGUAAACGAUGAAUGCUAGGUGUUGGCGCGAGAGCGUCGGUGCCGCAGUUAACACAAUAAGCAUUCCACCUGGGGAGUACGAUCGCAAGAUUGAAACUCAAAGGAAUUGACGGGGGCCCGCACAAGCGGUGGAGUAUGUGGUUUAAUUCGAAGCAACGCGAAGAACCUUACCAAGACUUGACAUCCCUUUGAAUAAGCAUGUAAUGUGCUUAGCCUUUCGGGGCAAAGGUGACAGGUGGUGCAUGGUUGUCGU
rnacentral:rRNA from 1 species